UACGAAGGGGGCUAGCGUUGCUCGGAAUCACUGGGCGUAAAGGGUGCGUAGGCGGGUUUUUAAGUCAGGGGUGAAAUCCUGGAGCUCAACUCCAGAACUGCCUUUGAUACUGAAGAUCUUGAGUCCGGGAGAGGUGAGUGGAACUGCGAGUGUAGAGGUGAAAUUCGUAGAUAUUCGCAAGAACACCAGUGGCGAAGGCGGCUCACUGGCCCGGUACUGACGCUGAGGCACGAAAGCGUGGGGAGCAAACCGG
rnacentral:rRNA from 1 species